rnacentral:misc_RNA from 1 species
UCAGCAGGAUGCGUGGCAGCGC